GACGAACGCUGGCGGCGUGCUUAACACAUGCAAGUCGAACGGAAAGGCCCUGCUUUUGUGGGGUGCUCGAGUGGCGAACGGGUGGGUAACACGUGAGUAACCUGCCCUUGACUUUGGGAUAACUUCAGGAAACUGGGGCUAAUACCGGAUAGGAGCUCCUGCUGCAUGGUGGGGGUUGGAAAGUUUCGGCGGUUGGGGAUGGACUCGCGGCUUAUCAGCUUGUUGGUGGGGUAGUGGCUUACCAAGGCUUUGACGGGUAGCCGGCCUGAGAGGGUGACCGGCCACAUUGGGACUGAGAUACGGCCCAGACUCCUACGGGAGGCAGCAGUGGGGAAUAUUGCACAAUGGGCGGAAGCCUGAUGCAGCAACGCCGCGUGCGUGAUGACGGCCUUCGGGUUGUAAACCGCUUUCGCCUGUGACGAAGCGUGAGUGACGGUAAUGGGUAAAGAAGCACCGGCUAACUACGUG
rnacentral:rRNA from 1 species